rnacentral:tRNA from 1 species
GGGCCUGUAGCUCAGUGGACUAGAGCACGUGGCUACGGACCACGGUGUCGGGGGUUCGAAUCCCUCCUGGCCCGCUA